rnacentral:snRNA from 1 species
AUACCUUUCUCCGCCUUUUGGCUAAGAUUAAGUGUAGUAUUUGUUAUUAUUAGUUUAAUAUUUGAUAUUUGAUAUUUGAUAUGUGGGGUACAUCCUCACAACGACAUUAAAUUUAUUUUUUAAGGCAACUUUCUGCACCAGGUGCUCCCUGUACACCAUCUUAUCAUACUUGGGAACGCUACCCGUUUUCUCCACCGAAUAGAGAAGCGUUCACCAU